GAGUUUGAUCGUGGCUCAGAUUGAACGCUGGCGGCAUGCCUUACACAUGCAAGUCGAACGGCAGCAUGAUCUAGCUUGCUAGAUUGAUGGCGAGUGGCGAACGGGUGAGUAAUACAUCGGAACGUGCCCCGUAGUGGGGGAUAACUAGUCGAAAGAUUAGCUAAUACCGCAUACGACCUGAGGGUGAAAGUGGGGGACCGCAAGGCCUCAUGCUAUAGGAGCGGCCGAUGUCUGAUUAGCUAGUUGGUGGGGUAAAGGCCCACCAAGGCGACGAUCAGUAGCUGGUCUGAGAGGACGAUCAGCCACACUGGGACUGAGACACGGCCCAGACUCCUACGGGAGGCAGCAGUGGGGAAUUUUGGACAAUGGGCGAAAGCCUGAUCCAGCAAUGCCGCGUGUGUGAAGAAGGCCUCGGUUGUAAGU
rnacentral:rRNA from 1 species